GUAGGAAUCAAUUUUAUAGAUUAUAUAGAUCAGUGCUGAUUCCGAUCUCCGAUAUUGGAGGGUUUAUGGCUUUACCAUUGCCCGCUCUGCCCUUGCUAAUAUGCGGUCUUGAUGAGAUGGAUUAUCCACAUAUAGUGAGUAACAGUUUAGCACCAAUUAUCACUCAAAUAUCCAUAACUCCUUGCAUGGAUGUAAUAAUUACAUUGAUUGCACCCAAUAAUAUUUAGUUAGGGUUAGAGAAUCCAAAACACCAAAAUAUAACUAUGGGGAAAAGUGCUUAGGGAAGUUGUUCAAGCACUUCUCUAAGUUUGUUUCUGAAAAGCAACACCCUAGCCGGCUCAGUGCAUGGUUCGAUUUUUGUGAGAGCCUACCAACGGUCUACCAAUACUUGGAUGCUAGAUACACUUCAACUAUAUAUAGCGGCCAGCUCAAAAAAAAAAACCCUUGAAUUCUCUCUUUGUUCGUAGAGACGCGUCUUGAAUUUCGAUUUUAAAAUGAUUGUUGCAUUUUAAUUUUUUCUCUCACAAUUUCCAUUUUAUGGCUCCUCCAUGUCCAUGGUCUCCUCACACCUGCGCACCUCGGGAAAAGCUUGGAAAAAGGCGGAGCCAAGUGCUGGUGACAGAAAGUGCCUCUCGCAGUUAUUAUCCUCAAAAAACAAGAAUAAUAGAACAAAGCAUUUUUUCUGCGGGAAUAAUAAGAGGAAAAAAAUAUACACCAUAAAAAGAAUGAGGAUAUCUCCCAAAAAUUGUCUUAUGUAGAGUAUGAUUUAGCUAGUUACUUCCUCUGUUCCUAACUAAUUGGCGUCAGAAAUUUUGCAAAAAAACCUUGUAGUUUUUCAAAAUCAACCUAGAGUACGCGUUCUACUAGAACUUUUGCGAAAAAAACCUGUAGUUUAUCGAAAUCAACGC
rnacentral:lncRNA from 1 species